rnacentral:rRNA from 1 species
AUUGAACGCUGGCGGCAUGCCUUACACAUGCAAGUCGAGCGGCAGCGCGGGGGCAACCCUGGCGGCGAGCGGCGAACGGGUGAGUAAUACAUCGGAACGUGUCCAGUAGCGGGGGAUAACCUGUCGAAAGAUAGGCUAAUACCGCAUACGAUCUACGGAUGAAAGCGGGGGACCGCAAGGCCUCGCACUGUUGGAGCGGCCGAUGUCGGAUUAGCUAGUUGGCGGGGUAAAAGCCCACCAAGGCGACGAUCCGUAGCUGGUCUGAGAGGACGACCAGCCACACUGGAACUGAGACACGGUCCAGACUCCUACGGGAGGCAGCAGUGGGGAAUUUUGGGCAAUGGGCGAAAGCCUGACCCAGCAACGCCGCGUGAAGGAUGAAAUCCCUCGGGAUGUAAACUUCGACAAGAACGGGAAGAAUAAGCGAGAGUUAAUAUCUUUCGUG